CUACGGGCGGCAGCAGUGGGGAAUAUUGGACAAUGGGCGAAAGCCUGAUCCAGCCAUGCCGCGUGUGUGAAGAAGGCCUUCGGGUUGUAAAGCACUUUCAGUGGGGAAGAAAGCCUUGGGGCUAAUACCCUCGAGGAAGGACAUCACCCACAGAAGAAGCACCGGCUAACUCCGUGCCAGCAGCCGCGGUAAUACGGAGGGUGCGAGCGUUAAUCGGAAUUACUGGGCGUAAAGCGCGCGUAGGCGGUCUGAUAAGCCGGUUGUGAAAGCCCCGGGCUCAACCUGGGAACGGCAUCCGGAACUGUCAGGCUAGAGUGCAGGAGAGGAAGGUAGAAUUCCCGGUGUAGCAGUGAAAUGCGUAGAGAUCGGGAGGAAUACCAGUGGCGAAGGCGGCCUUCUGGACUGACACUGACGCUGAGGUGCGAAAGCGUGGGUAGCAAACAGGAUUAGAUACCCUGGUAGUC
rnacentral:rRNA from 1 species